rnacentral:rRNA from 1 species
CCAGACUCCUACGGGAGGCAGCAGUGGGGAAUAUUGCACAAUGGGCGGAAGCCUGAUGCAGCAACGCCGCGUGCGGGAUGACGGCCUUCGGGUUGUAAACCGCUUUCGCCUGUGACGAAGCGUGAGUGACGGUAAUGGGUAAAGAAGCACCGGCUAACUACGUGCCAGCAGCCGCGGUGAUACGUAGGGUGCGAGCGUUGUCCGGAUUUAUUGGGCGUAAAGGGCUCGUAGGUGGUUGAUCGCGUCGGAAGUGUAAUCUUGGGGCUUAACCCUGAGCGUGCUUUCGAUACGGGUUGACUUGAGGAAGGUAGGGGAGAAUGGAAUUCCUGGUGGAGCGGUGGAAUGCGCAGAUAUCAGGAGGAACACCAGUGGCGAAGGCGGUUCUCUGGGCCUUUCCUGACGCUGAGGAG